UACGUAGGGUGCGAGCGUUGUCCGGAAUUAUUGGGCGUAAAGAGCUCGUAGGCGGCCUGUCGCGUCGGUUGUGAAAGCCCGGGGCUUAACCCCGGGUCUGCAGUCGAUACGGGCAAACUGGAGUGUUGCAGGGGAGACUGGAAUUCCUGGUGUAGCGGUGAAAUGCGCAGAUAUCAGGAGGAACACCGGUGGCGAAGGCGGGUCUCUGGGCAACAACUGACGCUGAGGAGCGAAAGCGUGGGGAGCGAACAGG
rnacentral:rRNA from 1 species